rnacentral:rRNA from 1 species
GGAUUAGAUACCCUGGUAGUCCACGCCGUAAACGAUGGAUGCUUGUCGUUGGAGGAUUGAAACCUUCAGUGACGGAGCUAACGCGUUAAGCAUCCCGCCUGGGGAGUACGGUCGCAAGAUUAAAACUCAAAGAAAUUGACGGGGACCCGCACAAGCAGUGGAGCAUGUGGUUUAAUUCGACGACGCGAAGAACCUCAUCCUGGUUUUGACAUCUACUGGACCGCUCAUGGAAACAUGGCUUUCCCUUCGGGGACUGGUAGACAGGUGCUGCAUGGCUGUCGUCAGCUCGUGCCG